UACCAGCACCCCCGAGUGGUCGGGACGUUUAUUGGGCCUAAAGCAUCCGUAGCCGGUUCUACAAGUCUUCCGUUAAAUCCAGCUGCUUAACAGAUGGGCUGCGGAAGAUACUAUGGAGCUAGGAGGCGGGAGAGGCAAGCGGUACUCGAUGGGUAGGGGUAAAAAUCCGUUGAUCCAUUGAAGACCACCAGUGGCGAAGGCGGCUUGCCAGAACGCGCUCGACGGUGAGGGAUGAAAGCUGGGGGAGCAAACCGG
rnacentral:rRNA from 1 species